GGGUCUACACAGAUCUGACACAUUCUAAUCAAUUCAGACUGCAGAAGAAACGAUUCAGUCUUCCAGUGAACACACUGCACUGCACAAUGGAUAUCUUUUCAGUUUUUCUCUUCUGUAUUCUGGCAUCUGCUGUCUGUGGAAACGUCACACCAGAUGAAACAGAGCUUUUUGCAGAAGAGGGUUCAAAUGUUACAUUAUCCUGUAGUUAUUCCUCUGCAGAUGAUCUAUACUGGUACCGUCAGUAUCCCAGAUCUGCUCCUGAAUGUCUUGUGCUCAUCCUCGAUGGUACAACAAACACCAAAAUGUCUGAUGUAGAUCCAAGACUCUCAGUUAAGCUCACUAAACAGGACCAAAAGCAUGUGGAUCUGAUCAUCUCCUCUGCUGCUGUAUCAGACUCUGCUCUGUACUACUGUGCUCUGAGGCCCACAGUGACAGGAAACACACCAGUUCACUACAAAAACCCUUUACCCAGUGACAGAGUGCAAGUCUUCAUACAGUAA